GAAAUGCGAUAUGCAAUGCGAAUUGCAGAAUUCCGCGAGUCAUCAGAUCUUUGAACGCAACUUGCGCCAAAGGGAUAUCCUUUUGGCAUGUUUGUUUCAGUGUGUUAGUUGAUAUCAUAUAAUUAAAUGCAAUUGAAAUUUUUUAAAUAAAAUUUCUCUUGUUAAAUAUGAUGUGUUCUUUCAAAACGUAGUGGUCACUUUUAAUAAGUGAUUACGUUUGAAAACAAAAUUAUUUUUAAAAAUUUAUUUUUAUAAUAAUUUAAACACAUUUUUAAAAAAAUUAAUUCUUCAAUCAGCACCUGAAAUCAAACAAGAAUACCCGCUGAACUUAA
rnacentral:misc_RNA from 1 species